UCCUGUGUGGCUCAGUUGGUAGAGCAUGGUACUUGCAAUGCUAGGGCUGUUAAUUCGAUUCCCACAGGGA
rnacentral:tRNA from 1 species